AGCGAACGCUGGCGGCAGGCUUAACACAUGCAAGUCGAGCGGGCGUAGCAAUACGUCAGCGGCAGACGGGUGAGUAACGCGUGGGAACGUACCUUUUGGUUCGGAACAACACAGGGAAACUUGUGCUAAUACCGGAUAAGCCCUUACGGGGAAAGAUUUAUCGCCGAAAGAUCGGCCCGCGUCUGAUUAGCUAGUUGGUAGGGUAAUGGCCUACCAAGGCGACGAUCAGUAGCUGGUCUGAGAGGAUGAUCAGCCACAUUGGGACUGAGACACGGCCCGAACUCCUACGGGAGGCAGCAGUGGGGAAUAUUGGACAAUGGGGGCAACCCUGAUCCAGCCAUGCCGCGUGAGUGAUGAAGGCCCUAGGGUUGUAAAGCUCUUUUGUGCGGGAAGAUAAUGACGGUACCGCAAGAAUAAGCCCCGGCUAACUUCGUGCCAGCCGCCGCAGUAAAAC
rnacentral:rRNA from 1 species